CUGCCAUAGCAAAUCAAGUGCUUUCCUGUCCAUCUCUCUGAUGGAGUAUUAAGCAGCAUGUGCCCAAAUGGUAUUUGACAUUCCCUGGAAAUCCCGGAAGCAAUUUUGCCAGUUCCACAAAUGGAGUAGCCUAUUUUGACAAGAAACAAAUCAAGACACGAUGAAUCAGCAACAUUUUUAAAUGGCCUGCUUUAAAAUGCUUUACUUCUCGCUCAAGGAGACAAAUUUGCUCUUGCAGCCUAGUCCCAGAGGUUUCCCUUAGAAAGAGAGACAGCUCAGUUAUUUUCCUUCCUCAUCCAGAGGGGUGCCAAACCCAUAUUUCCAAUACACAGGUAUGUGCCCCAGACCUUAAACACCCAGCUGUGUUGGGUAGAGAAAACCUCCACCAUCCCAUGCAACCUUCAGCCAAAAGCCCAAAGGAGGGGUGUGGUGGUUUUACCGUACUGGGCAGCUAAACCCCACAACCGCUCUCU
rnacentral:lncRNA from 1 species